rnacentral:rRNA from 2 species
CCUACGGGGGGCAGCAGUGGGGAAUAUUGCACAAUGGAGGGAACUCUGAUGCAGCGACGCCGCGUGAGCGAUGAAGGCUUUCGAGUCGUAAAGCUCUGUCCUAUGGGACGAUAAUGACGGUACCAUAGGAGGAAGCCCCGGCUAACUACGUGCCAGCAGCCGCGGUAAUACGUAGGGGGCAAGCGUUGUCCGGAUUUACUGGGCGUAAAGGGUACGCAGGCGGCCAUAUAAGUCAGAUGUGAAAUCCUAGGGCUCAACCCUAGUAAGCAUUUGAAACUGUGUGGCUUGAGUUAAGGAGAGGAAAGUGGAAUUCCUGGUGUAGCGGUGAAAUGCGUAGAUAUCAGGAGGAAUACCAGUGGCGAAGGCGACUUUCUGGACUUAUACUGACGCUGAGGUACGAAAGCGUGGGGAGCAAACAGGAUUAGAUACCCUGGUAGUC